AAUGAACGUUGGCGGCAUGGAUUAGGCAUGCAAGUCGAGCGAGAAGGGUUUUGAAGCUUGCUUUAGAACCCGGAAAGCGGCGCAAGGGAGAGUAACGAGUAGUUAUCUACCCCAAGGCCCGGAAUAGCUGCGGGAAACUGCAGGUAAUGCCGGAUAAUAUCCCCGGAUCAAAGGUGUGAUUCCGCCUUGGGAGGAGACUGCUUUGUACUAGCUAGUUGGUAGGGUAAUGGCCUACCAAGGCUACGAUGCAUAGCGGGCGUGAGAGCGUGGCCCGUCUCACUGGGACUGAAACACUGCCCAGACACCUACGGGUGGCUGCAGUCGAGAAUCUUCGGCAAUGGGCGAAAGCCUGACCGAGCGAUGCCGCGUGCGGGAUGAAGGCCCUCGGGUUGUAAACCGCUGUCGUAGAGGAGAAAGGUCUGAUGAAGAAUCAGAUUUGAUCUAUUCUAGGAGGAAGUCGGGGCUAAGUUCGUGCCAGCAGCCGCCGCAGUAA
rnacentral:rRNA from 1 species